rnacentral:rRNA from 1 species
CUACGGGAUGCUGCAGUGGGGAAUAUUGCACAAUGGGCGCAAGCCUGAUGCAGCCAUGCCGCGUGUAUGAAGAAGGCCUUCGGGUUGUAAAGUACUUUCAGCGGGGAGGAAGGGAGUAAAGUUAAUACCUUUGCUCAUUGACGUUACCCGCAGAAGAAGCACCGGCUAACCGGCCAGCAGCCGCGGUAAUACGGAGGGUGCAAGCGUUAAUCGGAAUUACUGGGCGUACAGCGCACGCAGGCGGUUUGUUAAGUCAGAUGUGAAAUCCCCGGGCUCAACCUGGGAACUGCAUCUGAGACUGGCAAGCUUGAGUCUCGUAGAGGGGGGUAGAAUUCCAGGUGUAGCGGUGAAAUGCGUAGAGAUCUGGAGGAAUACCGGUGGCGAAGGCGGCCCCCUGGACGAAGACUGACGCUCAGGUGCGAAAGCGUGGGGAGCAAACAGGAUUAGAUACCCGAGUAGUC